AACGGUAACGCGGGGGCAACCCUGGCGACGAGUGGCGGACGGGUGAGUAAUGCUUGGGAAUCUACCCAGUAGCGGGGGAUAACCUAGGGAAACUUAGGCUAAUACCGCAUACGACCUACGGGUGAAAGCGGGGGCUCGCAAGACCUCGCACUAUUGGAUGAGCCCAAGUCGGAUUAGCUGGUUGGUGGGGUAACGGCCUACCAAGGCGACGAUCCGUAGCUGGUCUGAGAGGACGAUCAGCCACACUGGGACUGAGACACGGCCCAGACUCCUACGGGAGGCAGCAGUGGGGAAUAUUGGACAAUGGGGGCAACCCUGAUCCAGCAAUGCCGCGUGUGUGAAGAAGGCCUGCGGGUUGUAAAGCACUUUCAGCAGGGAAGAAAAGCUCGGGGCUAAUACCUCCGGGUCUUGACGUUACCUGAAGAAGAAGCACCGGCUAACUCCGUGCCAGCAGCCGCGGUAAUACGGAGGGUGCGAGCGUUAAUCGGAAUUACUGGGCGUAAAGCGCACGCAGGCGGUCGUGUAAGUCGGAUGUGAAAGCCCUGGGCUUAACCUGGGAACUGCAUUCGAAACUGCACGGCUAGAGUAUGGGAGAGGGAAGCGGAAUUUCCGGUGUAGCGGUGAAAUGCGUAGAUAUCGGAAGGAACACCAAUGGCGAAGGCAGCUUCCUGGCCCAAUACUGACGCUC
rnacentral:rRNA from 1 species